rnacentral:rRNA from 1 species
CAUAUCAAUAAGCGGAGGAAAAGAAACUAACAAGGAUUCCCCUAGUAACUGCGAGUGAAGCGGGAAAAGCUCAAAUUUAAAAUCUGGCGGUCUUUGGCCGUCCGAGUUGUAGUCUGGAGAAGUGCUUUCCGCGCUGGACCGUGUAUAAGUCUCUUGGAACAGAGCGUCAUAGAGGGUGAGAAUCCCGUCUUUGACACGGACUACCAGUGCUUUGUGAUGCGCUCUCAAAGAGUCGAGUUGUUUGGGAAUGCAGCUCAAAAUGGGUGGUGAAUUCCAUCUAAAGCUAAAUAUUGGCGAGAGACCGAUAGCGAACAAGUACCGUGAGGGAAAGAUGAAAAGCACUUUGGAAAGAGAGUUAAACAGUACGUGAAAUUGCUGAAAGGGAAACGCUUGAAGUCAGUCGCGUCUGCCGGAACUCAGCCUUCCUYUUGGUUGGUGCACUUUCUGGUAGACGGGCCAGCAUCGAUUUUGACCGUAGGAUAAGGGCUGGAGAAAUGUGGCACCUUCGGGUGUGUUAUAGUCUUCAGUCGCAUACUACGGUUGGGAUCGAGGACCGCAGCGCGCCGCAAGGCAGGGGUUCGCCCACUUUCGCGCUUAGGAUGCUGGCAUAAUGGCUUUAAACGACCCGUCUUGAAACACGGACCAAGGAGUCUAACAAACCUGCGAGUGUUUGGGUGGAAAACCCGAGCGCGUAAUGAAAGUGAAAGUUGAGACCUCUGUCGUGGAGGGCAUCGACGCCCGGACCUGACGUUCUCUGACGGAUCCGCGGUAGAGCAUGUUUGUUGGGACCCGAAAGAUGGUGAACUAUGCCUGAAUAGGGUGAAGCCAGAGGAAACUCUGGUGGAGGCUCGUAGCGAUUCUGACGUGCAAAUCGAUCGUCAAAUUUGGGUAUAGGGGCGAAAGACUAAUCGAACCAUCUAGUAGCUGGUUCCUGCC